rnacentral:misc_RNA from 1 species
AAGUCGUAACAAGGUUUCCGUAGGUGAACCUGCGGAAGGAUCAUUAACAAAUUCAAAACACACUUGUGUUAGUUGGAGGACCGGCAACGGUAGGACAACUAAUUACACACACACACACCUUUGAUUGACAACACCUAGUGAUCUAGAAAUUAAUUGUAGACAACUUUUAACAAUGGAUCUCUUGGCUCUU